UACGGGGGGGAGCAAGCGUUGUUCGGAUUUACUGGGCGUAAAGGGCGCGUAGGCGGCCACCGCAAGUCGACUGUGAAAUCUCCGGGCUUAACUCGGAAAGGUCAGCCGAUACUGCGGGGCUAGAGUGCAGAAGGGGCAACUGGAAUUCUCGGUGUAGCGGUGAAAUGCGUAGAUAUCGAGAGGAACACCUGCGGCGAAGGCGGGUUGCUGGGCUGGUACUGACGCUGAGGAGCGAAAGCGUGGGGAGCGAACAGG
rnacentral:rRNA from 1 species